rnacentral:lncRNA from 1 species
UCCUAACAAAUAUGUUUACAUACACUAAUCAUAUCAGAUCAACCUAUUUAAGAAAAAGGUGUUUGUUAUUGUCGGAUGAUUUUUGUGAUUGAUGCCAAGGACAAUUCUGAUUAGAAAAAUGCUCUUCUCCCAUCAAAAAACACUCCCUCCCAACUGAAUGGGCGAAAGUACUCAUGCGUAACUUAAGUUACGCUAGAUAUUUUCAGCGUGAGUUAACUCACGUUACUUUGGCC